rnacentral:rRNA from 1 species
CAGUCGCCGCGGGAACACGGAGGGUGCAAGCGUUAAUCGGAGUUACUGGGCGUAAAGCGUGCGCAGGCGGUUUGUUAAGACAGAUGUGAAAUCCCCGGGCUCAACCUGGGAAUGGCAAUGGAUACUGGCAAGCUAGAGUGUGUCAGAGGAUGGUGGAAUUCCCGGUGUAGCGGUGAAAUGCGUAGAGAUCGGGAGGAACAUCAGUGGCGAAGGCGGCCAUCUGGGACAACACUGACGCUGGGGCACGAAAGCGUGGGGAGCAAACAGGAUUAGAUACCCCUGUAGUCCCUGUCUCUUAUAC